CCUACGGGGUGCAGCAGUGGGGAAUAUUGCACAAUGGGGGAAACCCUGAUGCAGCGACGCCGCGCGAGUGAAGAAGUAUUUCGGUACGUAAAGCUCUAUCAGCAGGGAAGAAAAUGACGGUACCUGACUAAGAAGCCCCGGCUAACUACGUGCCAGCAGUCGCGGUAAUACGUAGGGGGCAAGCGUUAUCCGGAUGUACUGGGUGGAAAGGGUGCGUAUACGGCAGCGCAAGUCUGGAGUGAAAUCCCAUGGCUUAACCAUGGAACUGCUUUGGAAACUGUGCAGCUAGAGUGCAGGAGAGGUAAGCGGAAUUCCUAGUGUAGCGGUGAAAGGCGUAGAUAUUAGGAGGAACACCAGUGGCGAAGGCGGCUUACUGGACUGUAACUGACGUUGAGGCUCGAAAGCGUGGGGAGCAAACAGGAUUAGAUACCCCAGUAGUC
rnacentral:rRNA from 1 species